AGUAGUUUGAUCAUGGCUCAGGACGAACGCUGGCGGUGUGCUUCACACAUGCAAGUCGAACGAGGUAGCAAUACCUAGUGGCGGACGGGUGAGUAACGCGUGGGAAUCUGCCUUUAGAUGGGGGAUAACGGGUCGAAAGACUCGCUAAUACCGCAUAUGACGAAAGUUGAAAGGAGUAAUCCGUCUAAAGAUGAGCCCGCGUCCGAUUAGCUAGUUGGUAGAGUAAAAGCCUACCAAGGCGACGAUCGGUAGCUGGUCUGAGAGGAUGAUCAGCCACAAUGGGACUGAGACACGGCCCAUACUCCUACGGGAGGCAGCAGUGGGGAAUUUUACGCAAUGGGCGAAAGCCUGACGUAGCGACACCGCGUGAGCGAAGAAGCCCCUUGGGGUGUAAAGCUCUGUCAGCUGGAACGAAAAAAUGACGGUACCAGCAGAGGAAGCAUCGGCUAACUACGUG
rnacentral:rRNA from 1 species